rnacentral:rRNA from 1 species
AGUGAACGCUGGCGGUAGGCCUAACACAUGCAAGUCGAACGGCAGCACAGUAAGAGCUUGCUCUUACGGGUGGCGAGUGGCGGACGGGUGAGGAAUACAUCGGAAUCUACUUUUUCGUGGGGGAUAACGUAGGGAAACUUACGCUAAUACCGCAUACGACCUACGGGUGGAAGCAGGGGAUCUUCGGACCUUGCGCGAUUGAAUGAGCCGAUGUCGGAUUAGCUAGUUGGCGGGGUAAAGGCCCACCAAGGCGACGAUCCGUAGCUGGUCUGAGAGGAUGAUCAGCCACACUGGAACUGAGACGCGGUCCAGACCCCUACGGGAGGCAGCAGUGGGGAAUAUUGGACAAUGGGCGCAAGCCUGAUCCAGCCAUACCGCGUGGGUGAAGAAGGCCUUCGGGUUGUAAAGCCCUUUUGUUGGGAAAGAAAAGCAGCAGGUUAAUACCCCGCUGUUCUGACGGUACCCAAAGAAUAAGCACCGGCUAACUUCGUG